UUGGUGGCGAUAGCGAAGAGGUCACACCCGUUCCCAUACCGAACACGGAAGUUAAGCUCUUCAGCGCCGAUGGUAGUCGGGGGUUUCCCCCUGUGAGAGUAGGACGCCGCCAAGCA
rnacentral:rRNA from 1 species